CACGUAGGGUGCGAGCGUUGUCCGGAAUUAUUGGGCGUAAAGAGCUCGUAGGCGGCUUGUCGCGUCGACUGUGAAAACCCGAGGCUCAACUUCGGGCUUGCAGUCGAUACGGGCAGGCUAGAGUUCGGUAGGGGAGACUGGAAUUCCUGGUGUAGCGGUGAAAUGCGCAGAUAUCAGGAGGGACACCGAUGGCGAAGGCAGGUCUCUGGGCCGAUACUGACGCUGAGGAGCGAAAGCGUGGGGAGCGAACAGG
rnacentral:rRNA from 1 species